UAGGGAAUCUUCCACAAUGGACGCAAGUCUGAUGGAGCAACGCCGCGUGAGUGAAGAAGGCUUUCGGGUCGUAAAACUCUGUUGUUGGAGAAGAAUGGUCGGCAGAGUAACUGUUGUCGGCGUGACGGUAUCCAACCAGAAAGCCACGGCUAACUACGUGCCAGCAGCCGCGGUAAUACGUAGGUGGCAAGCGUUAUCCGGAUUUAUUGGGCGUAAAGCGAGCGCAGGCGGUUUUUUAAGUCUGAUGUGAAAGCCCUCGGCUUAACCGAGGAAGCGCAUCGGAAACUGGGAAACUUGAGUGCAGAAGAGGACAGUGGAACUCCAUGUGUAGCGGUGAAAUGCGUAGAUAUAUGGAAGAACACCAGUGGCGAAGGCGGCUGUCUGGUCUGUAACUGACGCUGAGGCUCGAAAGCAUGGGUAGCGAACAGGAUUAGAUACCC
rnacentral:rRNA from 1 species